rnacentral:rRNA from 1 species
CCAAUAGCGUAUAUUAAAGUUGCUGCAGUUAAAAAGCUCGUAGUUGAAUUUCGGGACCAUCAUGUCGGUCGUGCCUCGGUACGUACUGGCAUUGUUGGUUUCUCCCUUCUGACGAACCAUGAUGUCAUUUAUUUGGUGUUGUGGGAAUCAGGACUGUUACUUUGAAAAAAUUAGAGUGUUUAAAGCAGGCGCACGCUUGAAUACAUUAGCAUGGAAUAAUGAAAUAGGACGUUUGAUUCUAUUUUGUUGGUUUCUAGGAUCGACGUAAUGAUUAAUAGGGAUAGUUGGGGGCAUUAGUAUUCAAUUGUCAGAGGUGAAAUUCUUGGAUUUAUUGAAGACUAACUACUGCGAAAGCAUUUGCCAAGGAUGUUUUCAUUAAUCAAGAACGAAAGUUAGGGGAUCGAAGACGAUCAGAUACCGUCGUAGUCUUAACCAUAAACUAUGCCGACUAGGGAUCGGAUGAUGUUAAUUUUUUAAUGACUCAUUCGGCGCCUUACG